AAAACGACUCUCGGCAACGGAUAUCUCGGCUCUCGCAUCGAUGAAGAACGUAGCAAACUGCGAUACUUGGUGUGAAUUGCAGAAUCCCGUGAACCAUCGAGUCUUUGAACGCAAGUUGCGCCCGAAGCCGUCAGGCCGAGGGCACGUCUGCCUGGGCGUCACGC
rnacentral:rRNA from 1 species